rnacentral:rRNA from 1 species
ACUAGGAUUAGAUACCCUAUUAUUUUAAAUGUGAAUUUUAAAUAUUUAAUGAUUAUGAGUUAUGGUCUUUAAAAUUAAAAAAUUUGGCGGUAUUUUAGUCUAUUCAGAGGAAUCUGUUCUAUAAUCGAUAAUCCACGAGUAAAUUUACUUUCUUUAAAAAUUUACAUAUCGUCGUAGUUUGAAUAUUUUAAGAGAAUGGUAAUAUUCAAUUUUUUUAUUAGAAAAUAAAUCAGAUCAAGGUGUAGUGUAUAGGAAAGAAGAAAUGGAUUACAAUAAAUUUAUUUUAGGAUUAAAUAUUUAAAAUAUUUAUUAAUAUGGAUUUGAUAGUAAUUUAUUAUUAUUGAAUAAGUGAUUUAAGCUCUAAAAUAUGUACAUAUCG